GAUGAACGCUGGCGGCGUGCCUAAUACAUGCAAGUCGAGCGAACAGAUGAGGAGCUUGCUCCUCUGACGUUAGCGGCGGACGGGUGAGUAACACGUGGAUAACCUACCUAUAAGACUGGGAUAACUUCGGGAAACCGGAGCUAAUACCGUAUAAUAUCUUGAACCGCAUGGUUCAAUAGUGAAAUACGGUUUUGCUGUCACUUAUAGAUGGAUCCGCGCCGCAUUAGCUAGUUGGUAAGGUAACGGCUUACCAAGGCAACGAUGCGUAGCCGACCUGAGAGGGUGAUCGACCACACUGGAACUGAGACACGGUCCAGACUACUACGGGAGGCAGCAGUAGGGAAUCUUCCGCAAUGGGCGAAAGCCUGACGGAGCAACGCCGCGUGAGUGAUGAAGGUCUUCGGAUCGUAAAACUCUGUUAUUAGGGAAGAACAAAUGUGUAAGUAAAUAUGCACGUCUUGACGGUACCGAAUCAGAAAGCCACGGCUAACUACGUG
rnacentral:rRNA from 1 species